rnacentral:rRNA from 1 species
GGUCAGCCACACUGGGACUGAGACGCUGCCCAGACUCCUACGGGAGGCUGCAGUCGAGGAUCAUUCGCAAUGCGCGAAAGCGUGACGAUGCGACGCUGCGUGGAGGAUGACGGCCUUCGGGUUGUAAACUCCUGUCAUUCGGGAACAACCGUUGCGGGGUGAAUAGCCCCGCGACCUGAUAGUACCGAAAGAGGAAGCCACGGCUAACUCUGUGCCAGCAGCCGCGGUAACACAGAGGUGGCGAGCGUUGUUCGGAUUUACUGGGCGUAAAGGGUCUGUAGGUGGUCUCGUAAGUCGGGUGUGAAAGCUCACUGCUCAAUAGUGAAAUUGCACUCGAAACUGCAGGACUGGAGUGCAGGAGAGGAAAGCGGAAUUCUUGGUGUAGCGGUGGAAUGCGUUGAUAUCAAGAAGAACACCUGUGGCGAAGGCGGCUUUCUAGAAUGCUACUGACACUGAAACACGAAAGUUGGGGGAGCAAACAGGAUUAGAUACCCUGGUAGUCCCAACCCUAAACUGUGUACACUUGGUGUAGGGGGAUUUGACCCCCUCUGUGCCGGAGCUAACGCGAUAAGUGUACCGCCUGGGGAGUACGGCCGCAAGGCUAAAACUCAAAGAAAUUGACGGGGGCCCGCACAAGCGGAGGAGCAUGUGGCUUAAUUCGAUGCAACGCGAAGAACCUUACCAGGGCUUGACAUGCAGCUGCAAGCCCCCUGAAAGGGGGGAAGCCUUCGAGGGUGCUGCACAGGUGCUGCAUGGCUGUCGUCAGUUCGUGCCGUGAGGUGUUGGGUUAAGUCCCGCAACGAACGCAACCCUUAUGUUCAGUUGCAACCAUAGGUGAUGAGCCUGUGAGCACUCUGGACAGACUGCCCAUGCAAGUGGGAGGAAGGUGGGGAUGACGUCAAGUCAGUAUGGCCCUUAUGCCCUGGGCUGCACACGUGCUACAAUGGCUGGUACAGAGGGAUGCAAUACCGCGAGGUGGAGCCAAUCCCCAAAACCAGUCCCAGUUCGGAUUGGAGUCUGCAAUUCGACUCCAUGAAGUUGGAUUCGCUAGUAAUGGCGCAUCAGCUACGGCGCCGUGAAUGCGUUCCCGGGCCUUGUACACACCGCCCGUCACAUCAUGAAAGCUUUCUGCACCCGAAGUCGCUGUUCCAACCCUAACGGGAGGUAGGCGCCGAAGGUGUGGGGAGUGAUUGGGAUGAAGUCGUAACAGGGUA